GUCUGGUGACCAGCAGACAUUUUCAGGGCUGUCAGAACGUACAGCCUCCCUUAGGAUUGAGUUAUAAUGGGAGCAUUCAGGGAUCCAUUGGCGGCAGUAAUUAAUCAUGCCGAGGAAGGUGAGCAACUCCUUCCGAGUAGUGGGUGUAGGAAUCCUCUGAAUGACCUCAAUACAUUUUGGACUCAAUUGUCUGGUGCCUAAAGCCAGAACAAAACCUAAGUAUUCAACCUUUGAUUUACACAAUUGCAUUUUGUGUUUAACAACCUUGUGACCCACAGUUGCUGACAGUAUCCACAGUGCUUGCCUCAUAGUUAGGGCUACAUAACAACAAAUCAUCAACAUUUUGCAAAAAGGACGGAACCAUGACCGGUGGUCCAUGUUUUUUAGAGUAUGUUAGAGUACCAACGAAUAAACAGCUGGGGAAUCCACAUAGCCUUGGGUAAGCGUGUCCAGGUAAACUGACAGCCUUCAAAAAGUAAAAACCAUAAGUAGCUGUGUCUCUUGAUCAAUAGGUAUAGAAAAAAUGCAUUACUUAAAUCAAUGACAGUGAAGCAAGUGGCAUCAUG